rnacentral:rRNA from 1 species
UACGGGGGGGCAAGCGUUGUUCGGAAUUACUGGGCGUAAAGAGCUCGUAGGCGGUGUGUCGCGUCGGCCGUGAAAACCUGCAGCUUAACUGUGGGCUUGCGGUCGAUACGGGCAUCACUGGAGUUCGGUAGGGGAGACUGGAAUUCCUGGUGUAGCGGUGAAAUGCGCAGAUAUCAGGAGGAACACCGGUGGCGAAGGCGGGUCUCUGGGCCGAUACUGACGCUGAGGAGCGAAAGCGUGGGGAGCGAACAGG